GGGCAGCCGCGGAGGCCGAGCCCCGUCGCUCUCCAGCGCCCCUUGCCGCCCGCGCCUCGGCUUCACCGGCCUCGCCCCAAACUUAAAAACACCUGAGCAGGAGGUUGAACGAUUCCCUCGGAAUCUCCUCUUCACUAACCCAGCGAACCACCCCAAAUGCCCCUAUCCUCCCCCAAAUAAAAUCCGCAGAGCAAUUAACAAAGAUAUUCGGCCAAGCCCCGGUUUCCUCAUCUGUCCCUGCCCCCUCGAACUUUCUGUGCUUCCCCAGUCUCGACCAGGGACAAACUGUGCUGAAGCUCAAUGACUUUCUGGCAGAAGUGAACCUCCAGCUUCGUUUUCUGACAGCCGUGGUUCUUCACAGGCCUGGUUUCCCACUCCGGACCCUCCACUGCCCCUGGUGGCGGCCACCAUCUUACCCCCAGCUCCAGGGUCGCGCUGAGGACGCGGCCAGCCCCCAGCCACCGCAGUUUUGAACUACAUUUCCCACCAGCCCUUUCUCAACAUCGCGAGAGUUCCGGAGACAUUGCCGAGAAGACUUGCGCGCAGGCGCGGUCUCGCGUUCUUUUCGAGGUCGACCGCGUGGCUGGAAGACAUGGCCACUCCCGUCGGUGUUGAGCACGGCGAGCAGUCUCAGGCCUUUAGUGAUGAUGAUUAAAGGUGUUGGCUGUGGCCUUGAAAACAGUCAUGUGAAAACUCAUCACCUUAAGGUGUUAAGUGUAAGGAUCUUCAUGAUGAAAUUUCUGUAAAUGGUGCAGUCAGCCUCAGUUUCCAAAGCCAGAAAAGGAUCCUCUAGAAGCCACGGUGUGGCAGCUGCUCUGAACCAGGACCUGGACCCGGACCCAAAGUGCCAUGUCUUCAAUGUGAGUUAGCUCCCAGCGAUGCCAGAUGGGAUCAGCACAGCCCUGCCUCUGCUGCUAAUUGUUCCUCUAAAGUAAUCGCCAUGCAUUCUUCGGGCUUCACCUUUAAAGGAAUGAAGCAACUGAGAUUAUUCUGGAAAACCUUUUGGCAGUUGGUGAAAUUAGAGUACAACUAAGAACAUUUUCAGACCUCCACUGUGGAUGACCUGGGUAUAAUCUCACAAAUCGAUGGGACUGCAAGGAUUGUAAACUGAAAUGAACAUGAUUAUACUCUGUUGGAAGAGCCUAAGAGGAAACUGAUGCCAUGAGUUUCAGAGAGUAAUGCUUAACCCCAGUUACACAGGAUGCCGUCUUGUGUUUCCUCUUGUUUAGUUACCCACUACAGUGAUUUUGUGAUCUGCUAAUGGGUUGCCACCCACAACCAUUGCUUUAGCACUUUUCCUUCAAAUCAAUGAAGGAUUGAUAAAAGUUCUCCUGGUGUCUCCGCAGAGUGGCUUCCAGGAACAGAUCUUUGCAUAGAAUAUCAGUGGUUUCCUUUUUUGUUUCAAAUAGUGGUCAGAAAAUACCCAGUGUUGACUCACCAAGGCAAUCAGCUUCCUUUUUCCCUUUUUUUUUUUUUUUUUUUUUUUACAUUUUAUAUUUUUGCUUUAUUUUAUUUUAUUUUGUUUAUUUUUUGAGACGGAGUUCCACUCUGUCGCCAGGCUGGAGUGAAGUGGUACAAUCUUGGCUCACUGCAACCUCCACCUCCCGGGUUCAAGCAAUUCUCCUGGCUCAGCCUCCUGAGUGCUGGGACUAUAGGCACGUACCUUCUUUAGUAGAGACUGGGUUUCACCAUGUUGGCCAGGAUGGUCUCUAUCUCCUGACCUUGUGAUCUGCCUGCCUCAGCUUCCCAAAGUGCUGAGAUUACAGGCGUGAGCCAUCAGACCCAGCAUUUUUUUUUUAAUUUAAAUUUAAAAUUUUUUCAUUUUUUUGAGAGGUUUUUUGUUUUGUUUUGUUUUUGUUGUUGUUUUUGAGACAGUCUUGCUCUGUCACCCAGGCUGGGAGUGCAGUGGCAUGAUCUCUGCAACCUCUACCUCCCAGGUUCAAGCAAUUCUUGUGCCGCAGCCUCCCAAGUAACUGGGACUACAGGUGCACGCUACCACACCUGGCUGAUUUUUUAUGUUUUAGUAGAGACAGGGUUUCAACCAUGUUGCCCAGGUUGGUCUCAAACUCCCGAGCUCAGGCAAUCCACCAGCCUUGGCCUCCCAAAGUGCUAGGAUUACAGGUGUGAGCCACCACACCCAGCUAUUUUUUCUUUCGUUUUUUAAUUUUAAAGUUGGGGGGGAUUUCAAUUUGUUACCCUGGCUGGUCUCGAACUCCUGGACUUAAGCGAUCCUCUGGCUCCAAGCCCACUACUAGUCUCAGGUUUCUUUACUAAAAGAUCACUACCUUUUUUUCUCUUAUCUGCUGCCAUGUGAGAUGUGGCUUUCACCUUCCGCCAUGAUUGUGAGGCCUUCCCAGCCACGUGGAACUGUAAGUCCAAUAAACCUCUUUUGUAAAAAAAAAAAAAAAAAAAUCACUAUUUAAGAUACUAGGAUGGAUUGUGACUGUUGAGGAGUACUUACAUAUCCUACAUUUGACUACAUUCUUUCCAAACCAAGUAUUCUAUCCAAAGGAACAUACUGCUAUCAUAGAGACCAAGGAGGGACUGUUUAAGGUUGCCAAGGUGAAGCGAGCUGAGAGGCUUUGUCCUCGUGCCAGUAACUCUGAAAUCUCUCUUAAUUCCUGCUGUCCAGGCAGCAGAAUGCCAUGGUUUCCCCAAGUAGGUAGCUGCUUUAGCAAUUAAAGCCCAAAUGUCUGUUCUGUUGAUCAGAGGUCUCUGAAUUUCUGAAGUGGUGUUUCGUUUCUGGUGACUGAGUUAAUCCUUUACAAUCCCUCUUGUAAAGUGUGCUAAUAGAAAGAAUCCACCUUUCAAAGCUGCAGAACCAGACCGUUUCCUAAAUUGACCAACGUAACUGAUGUGCCUCGGGAAGUCUCUUGGCAGCUGUCCCUGUGAAGACCCCCCUCCUGCCCCCCCAGCUGCUGCCUUGCACACUGAAGCAUCUCAGACUGUGCAAAGCCAUGUAGUCAUCAAGACAGUAAAUCCCAGGGCUUGGUUAAGUGCUGUGUGAUAACUUGUUUGGAUGAGACUUAACUUAAAACCACUUACAAUAAACUUGGGAAACUAC